rnacentral:rRNA from 1 species
GGUGAACCUGCAGAUGGAUCAUUUCGAUGAAAACCUUUUUUCUGAGGUGUGGCUCGCACCUGUCUAACUAAACUUGAGCUACCUUUUUAACACGGUUGAAUCGGUUGAGAGCCUGUCAAGGAACGCGAAAGUGUCCCUUUGGUUGGGCCCUCGACACUUUACACAAACACUUUUGAUCUUCUAGGAUUUGAAUGACAAUUUAUGACUGGUAAUUCGGUCGUUUAAAUUUAAAAACAACUUUUGGCAACGGAUCUCUUGGUUCUCCCAUCGAUGAAGAACGCAGCGAAUUGCGAUAAGUAAUGUGAAUUGCAGAAGUGAAUCAUCGAAUCUUUGAACGCACCUUGCGCUCCCUGCAGAUCUAAUCUGGGGAGCAUGCCUGUUUGAGGGCCGCGAAUUGUUUCGAACCACUCUUUUUUUAAUUAGAAAGGGUUGGCUCGGUAGUGAGGGUUUUCUGCCAUUAACCGUGGCUCCCUCGAAAUACAUUAGCGCAUCCAUUUGAUAGGCAAGAACGGACGAAAGCUCAUCUUUCGCUCUCUCUUCCCUGCCGGGUUUUGAUAAUAUCAGGACUUCGGAGGCCGGAGAGAGGGCAAGAGCUCGACGCAACGAUCUUGCUGUUUGGCGUGCUUCUGAACCCCGCCCAUGCUUCUUCGGAAGAAGGGAUUUUAAUAAUUCAUCGGCCUCAGAUUGGUAGGACUACCCGCUGAACUUAAGCAUAUCAAUAAGCGGA